CUGUGUCCAGGUAGUCCACGUCUUUGCAUCCCAGAAAAUAAAGGCCAUCACUUUGCCUUGUAGACUGCGAAAGUGAGGUCUUAAAAUGUGUCCCUUAAUGUCCACUGUAAAGACAAUCUACUCCAAAGGAGUUUAGGGACUGAGUGAGCUGACACCUGUAGAGGUUUUGGGAGAAACCCUCCUCUGUGGCAAUGCCGUUGGUCAUCAUGUAUCCUGUCAGUGGUUGACUGGCUUUCCAGGACAAAGGUCAUCUUCCAGCCCUCUUACUUCACCAUGCUAUGGUUUAAUCCAUCAGGGUGAUGUUAGCACAAAGGGGAGCGGAGAUGCCAAGACCUCCCUGUCUCUGGCAACUUCCUCUGGUUCCUCCUGGGGAAUCCCCAGCUCCUCCCAGGCCAGUCAGGGGCUGUCAUCCCUCCAGCGAGUCCACAAUCAGCAAUGGGUCUCCACCCAGAUUUUGACAUGUAGCAAAACACAGAACUUGGACAGAGAUUUCUGAAAUACAAAUCCAGUAAAUGAAGCCCAAACAUGUCCACAUUUGGGCUUGAUGUAUGGAGAUCCCUCCCGUCUGCCUGUCAUGGAGGAAUGACUUUAGAUUGAUGAAGCAGGAAGAGAAAGUCACAAUAGAAACAAGCAGUGGAAGGCCCGAAGAAGAGAAGAGGGGACUGAUAUAGCCUGAAGGUGUUCCUCAAACAUCUAUCAAGACAGAAACAUAUGAUUCACAGCAUCGCCAAGAAUCCCCCCACCCCCUCCAGCAGCUGCCCAGGAAAGACCCUGACAGGCAGACGAGCCGAGACCAGCCUCGCCCCGUCUGAAGUGUGUGAGAGCUCAUCACUCAUCACACAGAUAUGGGUUAAAGGAGGAAAAGUACAAUGAGUGGCAGAAGUUCACGACUGUACCGACAAGCUGACUGACAGAGAGGUCACACAAAUAGAGCGUGUCGAGCAGAGGUUUACAUUUAAAAUAACAACCGAUGAGAUCAUAAGAGUACAAAAGUUUACAAACUGUUAGUUAUUCUCACUCACACAGAAUUAAAGCUGCUAAUUGUUAUUUUUCUGUGUCACUGUAGUUCUUGAAAAUCACCACUAGGGGGAUGACAUUUAAUGUAUUUUUGUAAUAUUUUUGUUUGGAACCUGUAAACAUCUUUGUUUCUGCUAUGAUGUUGGAUAUCAACUGACUUUUAGAGGCCACUUGUGGAACUGCAGUUUGUAUCACUUCUUGUUAGCUCGCAUGCAAUCCUCAGCAAAUUCUUUUAGAAAUUCAUCUCUUUAAAGG
rnacentral:lncRNA from 1 species